rnacentral:lncRNA from 1 species
UUUGUUGUUAAGCAUAAAGUUACACAAUAGGCUUUCUGUGCUCUGCCCACCAUGUGUAUUGAUACUAAGUUUAUAGCAAUGUGAGCCGUCAGACUUGCAUCUGAGCCACUUGGGGGUGUGUGUAGAUCAUGUAAUCUGAUGUGAAGAACCGUUUACGUAACACCAGUUAAUGAUGUUGCUAUUUCCAUCUUUAGAUGAUACAAUCUUCUGUUGAUCCUAACAACUACCACUGUGGUUUAUUAAUGCCUCACCUUGCAGCACAGAUGUCGCAGCUACAACUUUCAGGAAGUUCAUAUGUUACAGGGGCUACCUCACAAGCUGCUCUCUAUCCUCAACAUACACAGCUAGUCCAGCAGCUUCACUUACCAGAGGAUCUUAGUAUGCCAGUUAGCAUACAGGCAGGUUUGACUGAGGACCAACAGAACUAUUCAUGGUGACAGUCCUCCUAACAUUUGAACUCACCUGAAAAGGAGCAAGAUGGAUUAACUAUGAAAAUGAAACUGGUACGCCAAACUACUACAAACAUGACAUCACUUGUGUUAAAUGAGAAGUUUUAAAGAGGUGGCGGUGGAGGACCCAAAUCGGGAUACACAUUUUUCAAAUACCAAUCAAACGACUUGCACCGAAGCUUUUCUCUAAGUUUUUUUCUUUCAGUUAUGUCUCCGUAGUCUUUGUCUCUGACAUCACCACGU